CAUGCCCUCAAAAAUAAAAACAAUAGGGCAAAGCAAACCAUUGCUCACACAGGUGGAUCUAAGAGCCUUGCAAGGAAAAGAGAUGAAAUGGAAAAAGAGUGUGGCCAAAAGGUCAGUAGAGGAGAGGUAUGGAUAGCCACCCACAAGCAUGCUAAUGGAACAUUUGUUAGUGAUGAAGCAAGGGAAAUUGGU